UGUGCCACAUUGAUUUAAAUGUAUCUGUUGAGGGGAAAAUAAUCAAUGCAAAUUCCCUGGCAGUGAGGCCAACAAAUAAGACAUGUCUGAUUCAUCAAGCGGACAUUGCUAUAAAGACCACAGUUUCUUCUUUGCCCCCGUUUCUCACUCUUUCCUUCUCUCCAUUUUGUCUCUUUUCCUCCUCUUUCCCACCUCUGGGCCACUUCACCCAUUUUUACUCUGUGCACCCUUCUCCGUGCAAAAAAAAAAAAACUGAUAGCCUGAAUUAGUGGAAGGAGCUUAAAUUUCUUUCCAUAUGCUCAUUGGAUUUCAUCAUAGACAGCAUGCAAAGACAAUGCAGAUGAUGGUGUGCGCCAUCAAAGCCAAAAUAAGCUUUUGCAGCUGGGCUACCCUGCCUUGCUUGGAUGCAUCAACAAAGCUUGAAGUGGCCACUCUAAUCUGGUGUCCAAACUAGCUGCACCAACAACUCCUGGAUGCAGCGGUGAAUGGAGGAGGAAACCACAGAGACUGACCAGCCACCCAGCCAAACCCCAUCCAGGAUACAACACAUAAGCCCAUGUCAGCCAGGUACCUGAUCCUGAAUCAACCCACCAGCCACCCCGUCUCCCAAUAGGUCCACUCCACCCCCCCUCCAGGCCAGUGGGCCAGCCCCAGAUCAGGGGCCAGAGCAGCAGGGAGAAGAGGCAGAGGAAGGUCAAAGAACGGCUACCCCCACCAAUCACAGACCAGGGGGCAUCCAAUCAUGUCAGUAGCUCACCAUCCCCUCACCUUUGAUUUGAGACAAUAAAACAUUUUCUGAAACAUUUUUUGAAAACAUGCAUAUUCACUUGAGCUUACAAAUUUAAGCAUAGUGAUUAAUUGUUAAGUACAGACCUAGAGUGUGAUUAAUCUGAUGAAAAAUGCAUUGACUGACUGCACUAUUCAAAAUAUAAUAUCUCUACAUACAAUUUGUAUGUAAUCUUUAAAAGAGGAAGAGAGAUUGCCAUUUUUUUUUCCUUUCUCGGACAUGUUUAUUCCACAUGCAUUCACAGAUAAAGUUGUGAAUAUCUACACCACUGCCCACUAGACAUCAGCUCUUUUAUGUGUGAGACAGCGAGGAGAGGAUGCAAGAACCACAAAUAAGACCAACACAAGAAAGACUUCAUGCUUUUUUCCAGUUCUUUUUCCGUUGUUUGAUAGAAUGAAAACUACAACAAAAAUGUGCAUAGACAAUUCAUCCAGCAGCAUACGAAUAAACUUCUUCAAAAUGUUGUGUGCGUAUUCUGAUUCUUCUGGAACUCUGAUCACACAAUUAACAAGAACUAGAAAAUGAGAGGUGUAUGUCUAUCUACAGUGGCAUUUGGUCAAGUCGCCAGUCCAUCAAAAUGGGCUAUAAUUGUGGAUCAUGAUUCAAUUCAGUUCCUUUUAUCUCGAUUAAACAACAUGUGUAGCGAGAGAAAAAAAUAGUUCUAGUUUACAUCCAGAAAUAUUAUGUACUCAAGACAAUCAAUUAGCGUGAAGAAAUGCAAAGGCAAUGCAGCCAUCCUCCCAUUGUCACUUCCUACUUGUUCUUGUAGGGUCGUGGAGUGGCCGCUGCCUGUCUCCACCAGUCAAUUACAGAAAUUCCUAGUUAUUA